AGCUCCAAUAGCGUAUAUUAAAGUUGCUGCGGUUAAAAAGCUCGUAGUUGGAUUUCUGUUGAGAACGGUCGGUCCGCAUAUUAGUGCGUGUAUCUGAUUCGGUCUUGGCAUCCUGUUAAGGAACGUAGCUGUGCUUCGCUGCAUGGUGCGGGACUUAACACUUUUACUUUGAGGAAAUUAGAGUGUUCACGGCAGGCGACCGCCCUGAAUAUAUUAGCAUGGAAUAAUAAUAUAGGAUCUUGGGUCUAUUUUGUUGGUUUCUAGAGCUGAGAUAAUGAUAAAUAGGGACAAUUGGGGGGCAUUCGUAUUAACGCGUCAGAGGUGGAAUUCUUGGAUUGCGUUACGACGGUCGACUGCGAAAGCAUUGCCAAGGAUGUUUUCAUUGAUC
rnacentral:rRNA from 1 species